ensembl:lncRNA
AUCCAUUUAAUGAACCAUAAAACACUCUUCUUUGGCCUUAGGUCAAACAACAACUCUUCCACACGAAGGUUUGUCCCCAUCUUCUCCUUUCUUACUGUUUUUACGAGAGAAACUUUAUGAAAAGACGUAAUAAGAUGCAGCCUGUGAUUGGAAGCAUUUUUAAAAAUUUCCUGGCAGAAACUAAACACUCGAGCACAGCUGAUUGGUUGUUGUUUGGCCAGUGAGGUAAACAUUCCCACCAGCGCAGCAGCUUUUACAUUUCCAUGUUUCAGGACUGAAACACCACGGUGUUGGGUCUGAGUCAGAGGGUUACAAAUCAAAACCGAACGUUGUUGGGGGAGAAUUUGUUGCGCUGCAAAUUGUUAAUGUCUCCAAACGUGUUGGAAGAAGAUGCCACAGCUAGAUGGACCUUGUUGAAUUGUUCUUUAAUGUACUGUGGUGCUCUGGUGAUAAGUAAUAAGUUGAUGUACUUGACCGAAAAUGUAGUUGUGUUUGUGAUUUUUAAAGCUGAAAUAGGGUAUUUUCAGGUUGUCAGCUUGUAUGGGGUUGUAGAUCAUAAUGUUGAUUUCAGUUUGCUGUCUUUGCAGAUCAUGUUGAUCAAAACAUUCCUGUCAUCCAGCACCAACCAAGAUCUUUGCCACUGUGAUAAGAUGUGAGCUUUACAUGUUUUAAGUUUACUUUUGAU